rnacentral:rRNA from 1 species
CAGUCGCCGCGGGAAAACGAAGGGGGCUAGCGUUGUUCGGAAUUACUGGGCGUAAAGCGCACGUAGGCGGACAUUUAAGUCAGGGGUGAAAUCCCGGGGCUCAACCCCGGAACUGCCUUUGAUACUGGGUGUCUAGAGUAUGGAAGAGGUGAGUGGAAUUCCGAGUGUAGAGGUGAAAUUCGUAGAUAUUCGGAGGAACACCAGUGGCGAAGGCGGCUCACUGGUCCAUUACUGACGCUGAGGUGCGAAAGCGUGGGGAGCAAACAGGAUUAGAUACCCCAGUAGUCCCUGUCUCUUAUAC